UACGUAGGGACCAAGCGUUGUUCGGAUUUACUGGGCGUAAAGGGCGCGUAGGCGGCUUAACAAGUCACUUGUGAAAUCUCCGGGCUUAACUCGGAACGGCCAAGUGAAACUGUCAAGCUAGAGUUCAGAAGGGGCAAUCGGAAUUCUUGGUGUAGCGGUGAAAUGCGUAGAUAUCAAGAGGAACACCUGAGGUGAAGACGGGUUGCUGGGCUGACACUGACGCUGAGGCGCGAAAGCCAGGGGAGCAAACGGG
rnacentral:rRNA from 1 species